GACGAACGCUGGCGGCGUGCUUAACACAUGCAAGUCGAACGGGCCUUGUCCCCUUUUUUUUUGGGGGUGGGGUUAGUGGCGAACGGGUGAGUAACACGUGAGUAACCUGCCCCUCACUUCUGGAUAACCGCUUGAAAGGGUGGCUAAUACGGGGUGUUCUGGCCUGCUCGCAUGGGUGGGUUUGGAAAGAUUCGACCGGUUUUGGUUGUUUUGGUGGGGGAUGGGCUCGCGGCCUAUCAGCUUGUUGGUGGGGUGAUGGCCUGCCAAGGCUUUGACGGGUAGCCGGCCUGAGGGGGUGGGCGGUCACACUGGGACUGAGACACGGCCCAGACUCCUACGGGAGGCAGCAGUGGGGAAUAUUGCACAAUGGGCGCAAGCCUGAUGCAGCGACGCCGCGUGAGGGAUGGAGGCCUUCGGGUUGUGAACCUCUUUCGCCAGUGAAGAAGGUCCUGCUCUUUGUGGUGGGGUUGACGGUAGCUGGGUUAAUGAAGCGCCGGCUAACUACGUG
rnacentral:rRNA from 1 species